GCACUGAUGAAGAGUCCCAAACUAGGACCAAACAGCUGUCCAGUAC
rfam:Trichobilharzia regenti genome assembly, scaffold: TRE_scaffold0025150